rnacentral:rRNA from 1 species
AUGCAACUAAUUUGGGGAUACGGACAUGCUCCGACAGGAAUUUAUUUAUUCGAAUUAUUGAUCCCGGUAUUUUUCUCAUUGACACGCUUGGUAUAUCUAACGCCUCUGUUCUGGGCAAUGAUUGGUGGAAGGAUGGAUACUAUGAGUUAUCUUCUUGAUCAUGGGGCCAAUCCACACAAAGUUGAUGACCGAGGGUUCAACCCACUUCAUCGCGCUGCUCGAAGAGGAGACCCUGAAAUGGUGGAACUCUUGCUUGCAAAAGGAGUUUCUGUUGACCCAGUAUCUGCUAGUGGGACACCAUUGCAUAUCGCUGCCUACAAUGGGCAUGAUGAAGCUAUGAAAAUUUUGUUGAAACACAACGCGGAUUGUAACAAGAUAGUACCUGGUGCUGAAACCCUUCUUCUUGCUGCAAUAGCGGGUUCCUCAGUGAAAUGUGUCAAGCUCCUGGUCGAGGCUGGUGCGGAUGUCAAUGACGGUCUUAUAACCCCUUUAGUUGCUGCUGCUACAAAUACUGCAUGCUUGAAAUACUUACUGGAAGCUGGUGCCAACCCUAAUGUUCCUGACAACUUUGGUAGGAUGCCAAUAGAAAUUGCUGCACUGGAUGGUUCAAGGGAAGACGUUGAGAUCUUAUUUCCUGUGACUUAUUGUAUUCCAACUGUGCAUGAUUGGAGCAUCGACGGAAUAAUACACCAUGCAAAGUCAGCGUCUAUGAAGCAGGGUGAUCAUUCAAAUGUGAGAAGAAUGGCAGAGUUGAAGUCACUUGCGGUUAAUUCUCUUAAGAGAAACGAUUAUUUUUCUGCGGCAACACUGUACAGUGUGGCAAUGAAGCAUGACCGUCAUGACGCUACUUUGUUAUCGAACAGAAGCCUUUGCUUUCUCCGCAUGGGCGAUGGGCACAAGGCUUUGCAGGAUGCUCUUGCGUGCAGUGAAAUGCGGCCUGGCUGGCCAAAGGGCUGGUACCGGCUGGGCGCCGCGCUCAUGUUAUUGAAGGUGUGA